GACGAACGCUGGCGGCGCGCCUAACACAUGCAAGUCGAACGAGAGAUGAGGAGCUUGCUCUUCAAAUCGAGUGGCGAACGGGUGAGUAACGCGUGAGGAACCUGCCUCAAAGAGGGGGACAACAGUUGGAAACGACUGCUAAUACCGCAUAAGCCCACGGCUCGGCAUCGAGCAGAGGGAAAAGGAGUGAUCCGCUUUGAGAUGGCCUCGCGUCCGAUUAGCUAGUUGGUGAGGUAACGGCCCACCAAGGCGACGAUCGGUAGCCGGACUGAGAGGUUGAACGGCCACAUUGGGACUGAGACACGGCCCAGACUCCUACGGGAGGCAGCAGUGGGGAAUAUUGCACAAUGGGGGAAACCCUGAUGCAGCGACGCCGCGUGGAGGAAGAAGGUCUUCGGAUUGUAAACUCCUGUUGUUGAGGAAGAUAAUGACGGUACUCAACAAGGAAGUGACGGCUAACUACGUGCCAGCAGCCGCGGUAAAACGUAGGUCACAAGCGUUGUCCGGAAUUACUGGGUGUAAAGGGAGCGCAGGCGGGAGAACAAGUUGGAAGUGAAAUCCAUGGGCUCAACCCAUGAACUGCUUUCAAAACUGUUUUUCUUGAGUAGUGCAGAGGUAGGCGGAAUUCCCGGUGUAGCGGUGGAAUGCGUAGAUAUCGGGAGGAACACCAGUGGCGAAGGCGGCCUACUGGG
rnacentral:rRNA from 1 species